rnacentral:rRNA from 1 species
AGUGGCGUUAAUAGCUGUUUUAUUUGACGUUAGCGACAGAAGAAGCACCGGCUAACUCCGUGCCAGCAGCCGCGGUAAUACGGAGGGUGCGAGCGUUAAUCGGAAUUACUGGGCGUAAAGCGCAUGCAGGUGGUUUGUUAAGUCAGAUGUGAAAGCCCGGGGCUCAACCUCGGAAUAGCAUUUGAAACUGGCAGACUAGAGUACUGUAGAGGGGGGUAGAAUUUCAGGUGUAGCGGUGAAAUGCGUAGAGAUCUGAAGGAAUACCGGUGGCGAAGGCGGCCCCCUGGACAGAUACUGACACUCAGAUGCGAAAGCGUGGGGAGCAAACAGGAUUAGAUACCCUGGUAGUCCACGCCGUAAACGAUGUCUACUUGGAGGUUGUGGCCUUGAGCCGUGGCUUUCGGAGCUAACGCGUUAAGUAGACCGCCUGGGGAGUACGGUCGCAAGAUUAAAACUCAAAUGAAUUGACGGGGGCCCGCACAAGCGGUGGAGCAUGUGGUUUAAUUCGAUGCAACGCGAAGAACCUUACCUACUCUUGACAUCCAGAGAACUUUCCAGAGAUGGAUUAGUGCCUUCGGGAACUCUGAGACAGGUGCUGCAUGGCUGUCGUCAGCUCGUGUUGUGAAAUGUUGGGUUAAGUCCCGCAACGAGCGCAACCCUUAUCCUUGUUUGCCAGCGAGUAAUGUCGGGAACUCCAGGGAGACUGCCGGUGAUAAACCGGAGGAAGGUGGGGACGACGUCAAGUCAUCAUGGCCCUUACGAGUAGGGCUACACACGUGCUACAAUGGCGCAUACAGAGGGCGGCCAACUUGCGAAAGUGAGCGAAUCCCAAAAAGUGCGUCGUAGUCCGGAUUGGAGUCUGCAACUCGACUCCAUGAAGUCGGAAUCGCUAGUAAUCGUGGAUCAGAAUGCCACGGUGAAUACGUUCCCGGGCCUUGUACACACCGCCCGUCACACCAUGGGAGUGGGCUGCAAAAGAAGUAGGUAGUUUAACCUUCGGGGGACACGUCAAGUCAUCAUGGCCCUUACGAGUAGGGCUACACACGUGCUACAAUGGCGCAUACAGAGGGCGGCCAACUUGCGAAAGUGAGCGAAUCCCAAAAAGUGCGUCGUAGUCCGGAUUGGAGUCUGCAACUCGACUCCAUGAAGUCGGAAUCGCUAGUAAUCGUGGAUCAGAAUGCCACGGUGAAUACGUUCCCGGGCCUUGUACACACCGCCCGUCACACCAUGGGAGUGGGCUGCAAAAGAAGUAGGUAGUUUAACCUUCGGGGGGACGCUUACCACUU